rnacentral:tRNA from 1 species
GAGGGUAUAGCUCAACUGGUAGAGUGUGUGCUUAGCAUGCACAAGGUCCUGGGUUCCAUCCCCAGUACCUCCU